rnacentral:tRNA from 1 species
GAGGGUAUAGCUCAGUGGUAGAGCGCCUGCCUAGCAUGCACAAGGUCCUGGUUCAACCCCCAGUACCUUCA